GGCGGAGUGGCCGAGUGGUUAGGCGGGCGUCUGCAAAACGCUCUACAACGGUUCGAUCCCGUUCUCACGCCU
rnacentral:tRNA from 1 species